rnacentral:rRNA from 1 species
UGGGGAAUAUUGGACAAUGGGGGCAACCCUGAUCCAGCAAUGCCGCGUGUGUGAUGAAGGCCUUAGGGUUGUAAAGCACUUUCACUGGUGAAGAUGAUGACGGUAACCAGAGAAGAAGCCCCGGCUAACUUCGUGCCAGCAGCCGCGGUAAUACGAAGGGGGCGAGCGUUGUUCGGAAUUACUGGGCGUAAAGGGCGCGUAGGCGGUCUUUUAAGUUAGGCGUGAAAUCCCCGGGCUCAACCUGGGAACUGCGUUUAAAACUGAAAGACUAGAAAACGGAAGAGGGUAGUGGAAUUCCCAGUGUAGAGGUGAAAUUCGUAGAUAUUGGGAAGAACACCAGUGGCGAAAGCGGCUACCUGGUCCGAUUUUGACGCUGAGGCGCGAAAGCGUGGGGAGCAAACAGG